AUUGAACGCUGGCGGCAGGCUUAACACAUGCAAGUCGAGCGGAGAGAGGUAGCUUGCUACUGAUCUUAGCGGCGGACGGGUGAGUAAUGCUUAGGAAUCUGCCUAUUAGUGGGGGACAACAUUUCGGAAGGAAUGCUAAUACCGCAUACGUCCUACGGGAGAAAGCAGGGGAUCUUCGGACCUUGCGCUAAUAGAUGAGCCUAAGUCGGAUUAGCUAGUGGGUGGGGUAAAGGCCUACCAAGGCGACGAUCUGUAGCGGGGCUGAGAGGAUGAUCCGCCACACUGGGACUGAGACACGGCCCAGACUCCUACGGGAGGCAGCAGUGGGGAAUAUUGGACAAUGGGCGCAAGCCUGAUACAGCCAUGCCGCGUGUGUGAAGAAGGCCUUAUGGUUGUAAAGCACUUUAAGCGAGGAGGAGGUUACUUUAGAUAAUACCUAGAGAUAGUGGACGUUACUCGCAGAAUAAGCACCGGCUAACUCUGUGCCAGCCGCCGCGGUAA
rnacentral:rRNA from 1 species